AUGUCGUCCGAUCCGGCUUAAACUGAACGCUCGCCGACGGGUGCGGAAGAAGCGGCUUGCCUCGUUUCGCGGGGGCCAUCAAAGAAAAUCGUGAAGCUCACAGGCGCCCGGAAACUCGCCGACCUCCACGAAAGCCUGCGGACGGGAGGGUUCGUGUACCUGAUGACAGGCAACGAUCUUCUAAUACAGAUCUUCCAACGACCGGUUGCAGUGCUACGUCGACAUGGGUGAAAGCACGACGGUGUGUGAUGGAGCAUUGAUUAACUUGGUUGUCUCCCCAAGCCACUCCGAAGCAUCAGAGGCACAAAAAAAGCCGCUGUCUGGUAGUGCGGUUGGACAUGCGGAGAAUGCAGUCAAAGGACAGUACAAGGAAUUGUCAACGUACACACUGCCUCUGAUGCCCAUUGACGUUGCUGCACACCUCUGAAAUAUUACAGCAGGAGGCGUGCCUGACAAUCUUCAAAAGAAAAUUGAAUGGAUUGCCUACAAUUCGUCAUCUCAGACAAUGUACCCAAAUAAAUUGUGCAAUGUUGCUGCAAGGAGCCUCGUAAACCAGUACCCAGCACUGAGGGACACAUUGCACCUUGGCCAUUUCUCAUGGUAUAUGUGCCUAAGAAACAAGUACAAAUACAUGCGAAAGUGAAUGCCACCAGGAUGCCCUGAAGUCGAUGCAGAAGUGAAAGCAAGAAAGGCAAGCGAAAUUGUGACACAUGCUCAAAAUCUGGAUUUUGAAGACGGGUGAUCAGCUGCAAGUUUGCAUGCAUAUUUCACUAGAUAAACUGACUCUCCUUUCUUUGUUAUGUGGCUUAGUUGAAACAUUUAGUUGCUUCUCUUGAUGUACUUGUUCGUUUCAUUUACAUUUUUUCUUUAAAAAAUGCAAACAUGCAAUCCAGCUAUAGCAACUAUAUCUGCAAUGCUGUCACCAGAGAUAUUGUAGGUGAUCAAAGAACCAAAAUAUCAUAUCGCAUCGCCACCUUGAACCUAGAGUGAAACAUUAGUUCAAGAUGUAGUGGUAGGUGCAUUUAUAGACUAGUAAUACAGCAUUCAUACUGUAAUGUAUAUUGAUAUACAUGCUAAGAUGUAGCAAAAAGUGUGUGGCUAUGCUGCUCUGACA